ensembl:lncRNA
GAUGGGGAACUGAGGGUGCAGGAACUGUGGGAGCAAUUAAUGCAGAGACAAGCAGAGCUGGAUGCUGUGCUUUCGUCUCUCCUCUGUGCUCGUCAGGUCUGCCAGCUGCGUGCUGACACUGCACAGUCUACUGAAUGGAUUCGUUUCCUCUAGUCUUUGGUUUCUGGCACAUUCUGGUAUAAGGAUUUUGGUGUGCUGCAGCCCAAGGGUGUCAGAAACCCUCUGAAAGUAAUAGCCAUGACUCAGCAGAAAAUCCUUCCUCGACUUGAACGACUUAUUCAGCUGUUGGAGGAAACCAAAGCACUUGGCCAGUCGACCAGCACGCAGCGGCAGAAGAGCUCUGGGAAGCAGGCGUUCGGCCAAGACAGCACUUCCAGAGUGUGGACCGAAUCUGUGUCUGUUGUAAAAGGUGUCUCAACUCAUUCCUUUAAAGAUCAAAUGAAGGCUCCAUUUGCGAGUGAACAGAAUGCCACGGUGCCCUCUCUUCCUCUGUCAAACCCAUCUUACACAAAGAAAAGCCAGGAAAAAACGCAGCUGAUCCACAGCCAGGAUGUCCAAUCUCUCCAGGAACCUGGUCUGUCCGCACACAUCAGUAUCCCACAGCUAGCAGAGGAGGACUGGUCCAGACUAGUAGCGCUAUCUCCUCUCUUCCAGCUGAUGAAGGAAGUGGAGCAGCAGCUCAGGGAUAGUGCCAGAGACAGAGGCCUUCUCAAGAUCCAGCCCUCGGGUCAGGCUCUAAUUAUCACCACUGAAACGUGCAAUCUGGACUCGUCAGAUCUGCAAAGUCAUUAGUGUAGCAACAGAUGACUUAAAGCCAUGAGAACCAUCACGUACAUAGUGAUCAAAGUGAGACACAUGACACAAAUGGUGUGUUGGUACAAGCAUUCAAGUGCAGGCCGGUCAUUCGUGGAUUUCAUGGAUGCCCAGUGGGAGUGUGAGGGAGAGCUGAUUCAAGUGAGCUCUGAAACACUCGAUCCACGACAGCUUCUGCUCUACCAGCAUGGACAGUUUCUCCUCCAGCAUCUUUGCUUACAUAAAAUGAUACCAGCAGUAACCCUUCAACUGGCUUCUACUCUUCCAUUCAACGACUACCCUAACAAUGCUUUCCGCAACUCUUUCUAUUAUCAGGAGGGACAGAAGACCCUGUUUGUUCGCUGUCAGAGGUUGCAGUCAGUGGGUGGCCUCUCUCUGCUGCUUAUGCACUGUGCUGCACACAUUUCCACCAGUCAGAUGAGGCCAGGCUCCACUCCCACCUUCCAAAGGGCCUUUUUCAAGGUUUUACAGUUGGGCCUAAGUGAGCUGUUCCAUGCCAGACUGGGACAAACUGAUGAUGAGAGGACAAAAGAUUUGGCGUCUGACGGAGCUCUCAACGGUCUUCUGCUGGAAAGAGUGCAGAAACCAAGUCCUGGGGUUUUCUCCGAGGAUGAUGUUUUGGGAUGUCUGCGCAAAUACAGAGAGGCUUCAGUGUUCCGCCAGGUCGAGAGUCUCCUAAAAGUGUCUCCUAAGAGCCUGGAGAUCAAGCACCUCAACACUGACCCGUCACUCAGCGAUGGCCCAGACAGCCAAGAUGCCGCUCCUCCAUGAACUGACAAUUUAACUUUGAACAGUGCUGCCUUUCUGACAGUGAUAAAUCCAGCUUUCAAAGGCAUGUUAUGUGCUGUGAGGCAGCGGAUGGCCUUAUCGUCUUGGAUGGUAACAGUUCCUGGACUGGGUUAGAGCAUCUAGUUUUGCUUCCGGUGAUGACCCAGCACAGCUAGAUAUCUACUUUCUUGUACAAAAAAAAAAAAGGGCAUUAAGAAAACACAUUAUAAGGGUCAUAAAACUGCAUAGGUCCAACAAGCAGGCCUCUGUUUAAUGCAGUUUUAAUGUAAUUUUGGAGGAUAAGGGCAUGUUACAGAAUUUGACCAUGUUGGUAUCUACCUAAUCUGACUAGCUUCCACCAAAUGACAAAUUUGCACCAGAAUAGUUAUGCCGGUGAACGUCUUAACCUCAGUCAAUAAGUAAAAAACUGACAGAGCUUUCUAACGCUGCAUUAAUGGCGCAUAUUCUCUAAGAUUAUGAGAGACGAAUCUACUUCAACAUAUGCUGAUAACGGUAUAUAACGGUCUUAAAUUAUUCCCUGAAUAUUUCUCUUGUGGCCCGUAUAUAUUGAAAAACAUGAGAAGAAACGUACUAUUUUGCGUUAAACAUGCUGUUCUUGAAAAUCGGUGCAUGAAACAGCUGCUCUUAAUUUUCAAUGAUGACAGCAGUGUUAAUCAUUUUAAUUAUAGGCCUGUUAAGUCCUCUUAAUAUUGCCAAUAUUUGAUGCUUUUGACAAUAUCUCUGGCAAUAGUUGACACAUGAUACGCCGCAACUCAGCACAGGGAGGUUAUCGUGAAUUAAAUCUUAAAAAUGUCUAAAUAUUUAAUGCAUUAUUACCAUUAAAAUGAACUUAAUUUAGUAUUUAAAUAGUUAAGUAUUUAAAUAAUUAACCCUUCUGCUGUUGGUGUCUGGGCUUAUUUGUUUACUUAUUUUUUAAAUGACAUGAGACUUUAAACUUUGACCUCCUGCUCUGGCUAUAUUUCAUAGUCAUUUUGUAAUAAAUCCAAAAGCAAGUCGUGAGAAAAAAAAAAA